rnacentral:rRNA from 1 species
UGGCUUGCGUCUGAUUAGCUAGUUGGUAGGGUAACGGCCUACCAAGGCGAUGAUCAGUAGCUGGUCUGAGAGGAUGGCCAGCCAGAUGGGGACUGAGACACGGCCCCAACUCCUACGGGAGGCAGCAGCAAGGAAUUUUGGGCAAUGAGCGAAAGCUUGACCCAGCGACACCGCGUGAGGGAAUAAGGCCUUCGGGUUGUAAACCUCUUUUCUUGGGGAAGUGACGGUACCCAAGGAAUAAGCCUCGGCGAACUACGUGCCAGCAGCCGCGGUAAUACGUAGGAGGCGAACGUUAUUCGGAUUUACUGGGCGUAAAGGGAGCGUAGGCGGUUCUUUAAGUCAGAUGUGAAAUCUUUCGGCUCAAUCGGAAGGCGCCAUUUGAUACUGGGGGACUUGAGAGCAGCAGAGGGAAAUGGAAUCUCCAGUGUAGCGGUGAAAUGCGUAGAU